CUAAGUUUGAUGGCGGCCGGCGCACGGGUGAGUAACACGUAUCCAACCUGCCGAUGACUCGGGGAUAGCCUUUCGAAAGAAAGAUUAAUACCCGAUGGCAUAGUUCUUCCGCAUGGUAGAACUAUUAAAGGAUUUCGGUCAUCGAUGGGGAUGCGUUCCAUUAGGUUGUUGGCGGGGUAACGGCCCACCAAGCCUUCGAUGGAUAGGGGUUCUGAGAGGAAGGUCCCCCACAUUGGAACUGAGACACGGUCCAAACUCCUACGGGAGGCAGCAUG
rnacentral:rRNA from 1 species